UGUUCCCUUUAUUUUUUUGAGCAGUGUAUAUAUAUAUAUAUAUAUAUAGACAGUAUGCAUAGAAUCAUGUAAAGGAAAUGUACUUCCUCUUUCAAAUCUGUAUGGUGGGAUUCAAUCCAAGGCGCUAUAGUGCCAAGCACUAUAAAGCUGACAGUGCGUAUUUUAAAGUCAUUUUCACGGUAAGCGCUGUGUAUGUUGUCUGUGCUAUAGAGAAUGUGAUAUCUGUGUGUUUAUCGGUAGGUCAUCUAUAGAGAAUGUGAUAUCUGUGUGUUUAUCGGUAGGUCAUCUAUAGAGAAUGUGAUAUCUGUGUGUUUAUCGGUAGGUAAUCUAUAGAGAAUGUGAUAUCUGUGUGUUUAUCGGUAGGUCAUCUAUAGAGAAUGUGAUAUCUGUGUGUUUAUCGGUAGGUCAUCUAUAGAGAAUGUGAUAUCUGUGUGUUUAUCGGUAGGUAAUCUAUAGAGAAUGUGAUAUCUGUGUGUUUAUCGGUAGGUCAUCUAUAGAGAAUGUGAUAUCUGUGUGUUUAUCGGUAGGUCAUCUAUAGAGAAUGUGAUAUCUGUGUGUUUAUCGGUAGGUCAUCUAUAGAGAAUGUGAUAUCUGUGUGUUUAUCGGUAGGUCAUCUAUAGAGAAUGUGAUAUCUGUGUGUUUAUCGGUAGGUCAUCUAUAGAGAAUGUGAUAUCUGUGUGUUUAUCGGUAGGUCAUCUAUAGAGAAUGUGAUAUCUGUGUGUUUAUCGGUAGGUAAUCUAUAGAGAAUGUGAUAUCUGUGUGUUUAUCGGUAGGUCAUCUAUAGAGAAUGUGAUAUCUGUGUGUUUAUCGGUAGGUCAUCUAUAGAGAAUGUGAUAUCUGUGUGUUUAUCGGUAGGUCAUCUAUAGAGAAUGUGAUAUCUGUGUGUUUAUCGGUAGGUCAUCUAUAGAGAAUGUGAUAUCUGUGUGUUUAUCGGUAGGUCAUCUAUAGAGAAUGUGAUAUCUGUGUGUUUAUCGGUAGGUCAUCUAUAGAGAAUAUGAUAUCUGUGUGUUUAUCGGUAGGUCAUCUAUAGAGAAUAUGACAUGGACAAGUCAGGGUCCAUGAGCUCCUAUGAGAUGCGACUUGCUGUGGAGUCUGCAGGUUUUAAACUGAACAACAGACUGAAUCAGGUCCUAGUGGCUCGCUAUGCUGAGAACGAGGCCAUAGACUUUGACAACUUCAUCUGCUGUCUGGUCAAACUGGAAGCCAUGUUUAGAACUUUCCAGCAACUAGACAAAGAGGGAGACGGUGUGGCUGAGAUGAACAUCACUGAGUGGCUUUAUAUGACCAUGUGUGGUUGAAGAGGACCAGUCUUAUCCCAGGAGACAGAACAGCCAAGUGCCCGGCAGAGUGCCUCUUCCCUGGGACAGCCUUACUGUCCUCUGCCUGAUCCUGAACUAUAGGGCUGACCUGUACUGUACCGACUCAGAUAUCUUAUUUCCCCCUUGUCCUUUCCAGCACGGUUCCAGCUACUAUGGUGAAAGCAUAACCAGUUCAGUUCGGCCCUAUAGUGGGAAUCAGUUACUCUUGCCGAUCUACAUUACAGCACGCCACCUCACCCACGCCACUCCACCUCACCCACGCCACCUCAGCCUGCCAGCUACACUACAGCACGCCACCUCAGCCUGCCAGCUACAUUACAGCACGCCACCUCACCCACGCCACCUCACCCACGCCACCUCACCUCACCCACGCCACCUCACCCACGCCACCUCACCUCACCCACGCCACCUCACCUCACCCACGCCACCUCACCCACGCCACCUCACCCACGCCACCUCAGCCUGCCAGCUACACUACAGCACGCCACCUCAGCCAACCCCAUAUAGCAGUGAGGGUACGAUUAGCCAUGUAAUGCAGGGUGAGACCCUUCCAAGCUAAAGACCACACACCCCAUGCUACGGGCUUACUUAGCUAUACAAAAUGUUGGAAUUGUUUGAUAGAAAACAGUCACUGUAGAACUGUAGAUAUGUCUGUAAACAGCAUGGGUCAUAGUAGAACUUGUAUUGAAGACAUUAUUUGACUAUGCCCAGUAGGGGGCAGUAUUGACUAGUCUCAGAUCUGGUGUGUGGUUAUCACCUUACUGCAGUUGUAGAAUGUUACUGUGUAUGAGGAAAUGUAGUAUUUUAGUUAUUGAACUGAACAGCUAAAGUUCAGAUCUGGUUGAAAGUAUAGCAAAUCAUAGUUUUAUGGGUUUUAAAUAUUUCAUAUUCGGAUAUUAUUUUAGACACCGACCAAGUGGAUUGGAUUACAAUGCAGAUUAAAGGGAUGGUUCAUGGUUCAUCUAAUUUUGAUUUUGGGGUAUAAUUAAUCUUACCUUGAGUUGUCUAUAUGGAUGAAUUAUAAUUAAAACCCAAAAGGAAGCUGUGAGAGAACGAGUCCAACAUAAUAAUGAAAUCAAGCAAUGCCUACUGUACUAACAAGCUGUCUAACAAACUGUCUCUCGCUAUAAUGAGAUACAGCUUGUUAGUGACAUUUUAUAACACAUUUCAAAGUAGUAGAGAAGAGAUCACUUUUAUUUAUCUCUAUUAUUUCUGAUUUCAUCUAAUAUCUACAUGUUGCUGUUAGAGAAGUUCUGAUCGUGUCAACCCUGUCUCCUAAAGCUAGUGAUUGUGAAUGUAGGGUGUGCCUUCAAUAAAGACAUGUUCGUGUUAACUGACUCC